rnacentral:rRNA from 1 species
GACGUAGGGCGCGAGCGUUGUCCGGAUUUAUUGGGCGUAAAGAGCUCGUAGGCGGCUUGUUGCGUCGACCGUGAAAACCCGGGGCUCAACUUCGGGCUUGCGGUCGAUACGGGCGGGCUAGAGUUCGGUAGGGGAGACUGGAAUUCCUGGUGUAGCGGUGAAAUGCGCAGAUAUCAGGAGGAACACCGAUGGCGAAGGCAGCUCGCUGGGACGGUACUGACGCUGAGGCGCGAAAGCGUGGGGAGCGAACAGG